CAUUGGGAUCUCCAUAGUCACUGCUCUUGGGGUGUCUCCACCAAGACCUGGACUCUGGUCCUCCUUACCCUCCUCACUCAGGGCACAGGUGA
rnacentral:pre_miRNA from 1 species